rnacentral:rRNA from 1 species
GAUCCUGGCUCAGGACGAACGCUGGCGGCGUGCCUAAUACAUGCAAGUCGAGCGGACAGAAGGGAGCUUGCUCCCGGAUGUUAGCGGCGGACGGGUGAGUAACACGUGGGUAACCUGCCUGUAAGACUGGGAUAACUCCGGGAAACCGGAGCUAAUACCGGAUAGUUCCUUGAACCGCAUGGUUCAAGGAUGAAAGACGGUUUCGGCUGUCACUUACAGAUGGACCCGCGGCGCAUUAGCUAGUUGGUGAGGUAACGGCUCACCAAGGCGACGAUGCGUAGCCGACCUGAGAGGGUGAUCGGCCACACUGGGACUGAGACACGGCCCAGACUCCUACGGGAGGCAGCAGUAGGGAAUCUUCCGCAAUGGACGAAAGUCUGACGGAGCAACGCCGCGUGAGUGAUGAAGGUUUUCGGAUCGUAAAGCUCUGUUGUUAGGGAAGAACAAGUCAAGAGUAACUGCUUGCACCUCUGACG